rnacentral:rRNA from 1 species
CAGUCGCCACGGUAAUACGUAGGGUGCAAGCGUUAAUCGGAAUUACUGGGCGUAAAGCGUGCGCAGGCGGUUUGUUAAGGCAGAUGUGAAAUCCCCGGGCUCAACCUGGGAACUGCAUUUGUGACUGGCAGGCUAGAGUAUGGCAGAGGGGGGUGGAAUUCCGCGUGUAGCAGUGAAAUGCGUAGAUAUGCGGAGGAACACCGAUGGCGAAGGCAGCCCCCUGGGCCAAUACUGACGCUCAUGCACGAAAGCGUGGGGAGCAAACAGGAUUAGAUACCCCCGUAGUCCCUGUCUCUUAUAC